UUGAAGCAUCAUUAAUGGCUCAAGAAGACAUCAUAGAGAUAUUUAAAAAAAUAAAAAUCUUCAAUGAUUCAAGUAAACUUUACUCAACCAACAUUUUUAAAUUCUAGAAAUGUUAAAAAUACCUACAGAAGAGAAACUGCACCUCUUCUGGACUGUAGAAAUUUUGGUAGAAGAGGCAGAGGUGAACAUGCAAAUCGAGGAGGCAGAGAAAUUUUGAAUCCUUCAAAUAGACCUCAAUACCAAAUCUGUGGUAAACUAGAUCAUGUGGCAAGCUACUGUUACUUCAGAUUCGAUCAACAAUUCCAACAUGCCCAAUAAAACUCUCCCAACUCGUCAAUGCAUAAUGCUCCUCCUCCUCUAUCCUUUCAUACCCCAAUAGCAUUAAUAGCAACAUAAACCUACUGAGAAGAGAUAUUAUCUAUAUGACUUACUACAUGUUCCAUCAAUUGCACAUAAUCUUACUAUCAAGGAGGUUCUUCUUUGAAGAGCAGCUAUUAAUGACAUGUAUCGCUUUGAAGAAUUGUCAUUCCUAAAUCUGCACAAUCUGAAAGUAAUCCAAGUGUGUUUCUUGCUAAGUGUUUGUCUUUUGAUGUGUAUCAUAAAAGGUUUGGACAUCUAGCCAAGCCUAUUAUAAAACAGAUUCUUUCUCAAUAUUCUUUAUAAAUAUUGAUAUCACUAAUUUUGUAUGUAAUUCAUGUUGUUUGACAAAAUCUCAUCGAUUACCUUAUUCUCCAUUCCUUAUUGCCUACUAUUAUCCUUUAUCUUUGAUUAUAUCUGAUAUCUAGGGACCAUCUCCAGUCUCUUCUCACAAUGGUGUAAGAUAUUAUGUCUCUUUUAUUGAUGUGUACUCGAGACAUACUACUAUAUAUUUUCUUACUCAUAAAUCUCAAGUGUUUUUACUAUGUUCAAACAAUACAAAAAUUAUAUAGAAAAGUAGUUAGGUUACUCUAUUAUAGCUUUGCAAAUAGAUAAUAAAAAAGAAUAUUUAUCCAUUGCAUUUACAGCAUACCUUAAUCAAGAGAAAAUUUUUCAUCGUUUGACAUGUCCAUACACCCUUCAGUAAAAUGGUCUUGCUGAGAGAAAAAAUAGACAUAUUGUGGAAACUACAUUGGCUCUAUUAGCCACUGUCUUUCUACCACUUACUUUAUGGAACGAAAUUUUUGCUACAUCUGUAUACUUAAUUAAUCAUAUGCCUACACCUAUUUUUGGACAUAAAUUUUCUUUUGAACUGUUAUAUCAUACUAUUCCAGAUUACUCUUUUCUAAAAAAUUUUGGUUGCCUAUGUUUUUCUCAAACAAGAUCAUACAAUGCACACAAACUAGAAUACAUAUUAGAACCUUGUAUUUUUGUGGAUACUCUAUUAAUCAGAAAGGCUAUAACUAUUUAAUAAAGUCUAACAAGAUCAUUGUCUCAAGAGAUGUUAUUUUGUGAGGAAAGAAAAUUUCCCUCGUCAUCAUUUUUUAUUUCAACUACUAACAAUUCCUGAGUUAUGAUCUUGUUUUAGAUUAUUUACCCCAAAUUUCAACUAUACCCCCAUUUUGUCUUGAUCCCUAUUUAGUUGUGCAAUCAUUUCAUGUCUCAGCAGAUAACAAAUCUAGUAUUGAAGAUGCUACUUUCUUCCAUAAUUCACACCCACAAGUGAAUUCUACACCAGCAACUACGCAGUUUAUUCCCACACCAGUUCUAAAACAGAAAUCACGGUACCUCCUCUCUGGUAACAUCCUCAGAUUCUGGAACAACCUCAAACAUUCACCCAAUGUAGACAUGAUCAAAAUAAGAUUUUUAUUGGGCAUGUAAUAUUGAGACCGAAAUCAACAACUAAAUUCUGCAUAUGCUAUCGCCUUAAUCUAGUAUCCUGGAAGUGUAGCAAACAAGUCACCAUGAGUAGGAACUCUAUUGAGACAGAAUAUAGAACAUUGGCUACAGUUUUUAUGGAGCUCUUUUGGAUUCAAAAUCUUCUCAGCGAGCUCAGGCAAUUUAUAAUCUCCACUCCUACUAUAUUUUGUGAUAAUAUGUUAGUAGUAUUAUUAGCCUAUAAUCCAAUUCUACACAACCGAACCAAACACUUCAAAUUGGAUCUAAAUUGGAUCUAUGUUUUGUUCAAGAUAGUGUAAUAAAAGGAAAAAUUGCUUUACUCAUAUUCCAUCUAGUGAGCAAGUGAUUGAUGUAUUAACUAAACCCUUUUCUUUACUUCUCUUUGAUAAGUUUAAAGACAAACUUAGAUUGACAAGCAAACCACCCUGAAUUUGUAAGGAGA